GGUCAAGUUAUUAAGGGCUUACGGUGGAUGCCUUGGGACCAAGAGCCGAUGAAGGGCGCGGCAAGGCUGCGUUAAGCCUCGAUGAGCCGUCUAGCGGGCAUAGUCGGGGAUACCCGAAUGGGGAAACCUUAUCCGGUGUUGAGUCGGAUAAUCCUUCCUGUAAAGGGAGGAGGGCAAGUGGGGGAACUGAAACAUCUAAGUACCCCGAGGAAAAUAAAUCAACCGAGAUUCCCUUAGUAGUGGCGAACGAACGGGGAUCAGCCUAAACCAGUAUGACUUAGUGGCAUAAGGGCCUAUGUCGUAUUGGGGUUGCAGGGAUUGCCUAGGGCCCCCUUAUGAGGCCCAAAGGAGUUACAAAUCUUAUUUCUAGUCGAAGGAUCCUGGGAAGGACCGCCAUAGAGGGUGACAGCCCCGUAGGCGAAAGGGAUAAGACUCCUGGCGUAUUACCUAAGUACCACGGGGCACGGGAAACCUUGUGGGAAUCUGGGGGGACCACCCUCCAAGG
rnacentral:rRNA from 1 species